rnacentral:lncRNA from 1 species
CUUACAGCUAAUGUAGACGAGCCUUAAUUUCGAGGAGGGUUACAAGAGAAUACAUAUUGUAAUGACUGAUAAAGAUGGAAUACCAGUAGAGAAAAAUGAUUCAUUGUUAAUAAUGGAUAGGUACAUGUAAUGGAUAGGACAAGAGAGAUAUUUCUCUUUCUUGUGAAGACAAGGAUCAUGCUGUAUGGGAACAUUCAACAAUUAUGUUGCUCUUUUCAUUAUGGACAGAAAACGCAAACCUUUUUAAAAAUGAUAAAGUGAGAAAUGAUAUCGUGUGGAAGAAGAUUACUGAAUUCCUAAAUGGAAAAGGUUAUAUGUAUACAGCUAAACAGGUGGAAAAUAAAUGGAAAAAUUAAAAAAAAAUUUAUAUGAAAACAAAGGACCACAAUGCCCAGUCUGGGGCAUCGUUGAAGAAAUGUAAGUACUACGACGAAAUGGACAAAAUUUAUGGAAGAUCGCAUAGUGUGAUGCCUAUAGCUGUUGCGUCAAAUCUUUGUAAAAGAGAUAUAUCAACAACAGAAGACGAGGAAAUAAAUUCUGAUAAUCCAACAUUAAUAAAGAAGAAAAAAAACCGAAAUUUGCAAUCAUGAAAAUAUUUUCAAGAAAAAUUAGAGAAAAAUGAAGAAGCAAGAGAGCGCAGGCAUAAAGAGAACAUAGAACAACAAAAAGAAGCUUUAGCAACCUAUAAAGAAUUUAUGAGCAAGUUUCUGGAAAAAUUAUAAUUUCUUUAUUUAUUUCAAUAUUAACAUACUUCCUUGUUCAUUUCACUUUUUAAUUUUUUGUUUCGAAAAUAUUGUUCUAAAGGUAAUAGACUGCUAUUCGAUUUUCGUUUUUAACUAUAUGAAUUAAUAUUGCGAAGUUGUUUUUCGAAAAUUAAUAAGACAGUUGUAUUGAGAAAAAAGUUAAGUAUCUGUUAAUGUAAAAGAUUAUAUAUCUGUUAAAAUAUUUCAAAGACUGAUAUAAAAGUGAAGUGAUGUGUAAUAUAUGAAUUGUUGAGAAAAAUUGAUAAGUCAAUCUUUUUUCUAAUUUGAUUUGACAUACAAAA